UUCAGUUUGUUUUCGAAGCGUCACAAUGAAGACACAGUAUUUGGUGUGUUGCAGCCUUUUAUUGCUCCUUUCCUCCUUAUUGGUGGUAGAGGCAUUUCAGAUCUCUUGUGGGAAGAACGCUAGCAGGAACACGAAAUGCAGAAAAGUCGAAAAAUUCCGUGAAGACACAAAAUUCAUCACCGCUAUGCAG